UGAACGCUGGCGGCGUGCCUACUACAUGCAAGUCGAGCGAACGGACGAGAAGCUUGCUUCUCUGAUGUUAGCGGCGGACGGGUGAGUAACACGUGGAUAACCUACCUAUAAGACUGGGAUAACUUCGGGAAACCGGAGCUAAUACCGGAUGAUAUUUUGAACCGCAUGGUUCAAAAGUGAAAGACGGUCUUGCUGUCACUUAUAGAUGGAUCCGCGCUGCAUUAGCUAGUUGGUAAGGUAACGGCUUACCAAGGCAACGAUGCAUAGCCGACCUGAGAGGGUGAUCGGCCACACUGGAACUGAGACACGGUCCAGACUCCUACGGGAGGCAGCAGUAGGGAAUCUUCCGCAAUGGGCGAAAGCCUGACGGAGCAACGCCGCGUGAGUGAUGAAGGUCUUCGGAUCGUAAAACUCUGUUAUUAGGGAAGAACAUAUGUGUAAGUAACUGUGCACAUCUUGACGGUACCUAAUCAGAAAGCCACGGCUAACUACGUG
rnacentral:rRNA from 1 species